rnacentral:rRNA from 1 species
UACCUGGUUGAUCCUGCCAGUAGUCAUAUGCUUGUCUCAAAGAUUAAGCCAUGCAUGUGCAAGUACAUACCUUAUACCGCGAAAAGCUCAUUAAAUCAGUUACGGUUCAUUGGAUAUUAAUUUUUUACAUGGAUAACUGUGGUAAAUCUAGAGCUAAUACGUGCACAAAAGCUUUGACCUUUUAGGAAAAAGCGCAUUUAUUAGACCAAGACCAAUGGUCCUUGUGACCUCAAACUUGGUGACUCUGAAUAACUGAGCUAAUCGCAUGGCCUAUGCGCCGGCGAUAUAUCCUUAAAGCGUCUGCCUUAUCAACUGUAGAUGGUAGGUUAUGUGCCUACCAUGGUUGUAACAGGUGACGGGGAAUCAGGGUUCGAUUCCGGAGAGGGAGCCUGAGAAACGGCUACCACAUCCAAGGAAGGCAGCAGGCACGCAAAUUACCCACUCUCAGAACGAGGAGGUAGUGACGAAAAAUAACAAUACGGGACUAUUAAUAGGCCCCGUAAUUGGAAUGAGUACAAUAUAAAUCCUUUAACGAGGAUCUAUUGGAGGGCAAGUCUGGUGCCAGCAGCCGCGGUAAUUCCAGCUCCAAUAGCGUAUAUUAAAGUUGCUGCGUUUAAAAAGCUCGUAGUUGUAUCUCAGUUCAUGUCAAUUGGUCAAUCACUUAAUAGUGAUUACUUUUUGACUGAACAUUAAACCGAUUUGUCUUCUGAUGCUCUUUACCGGGUGUUAUUAACGAUCGGGAUCUUUACUUUGAAAAAUUAGAGUGCUCAAAG